UCGCUUAAACUCGUGUUAUUUAUGUGUAAUUUUGCCGCCCGUCUCACAACAGCCGGGGCUGAGAUGGCAGUUAAUUAGCUCGGGAUAAGGAAUUGCCCGAAAUUAAACAAACAACAUCGGCGUGUUCGCUCGUACUGCGGGAGGAACGGGCUGGCAGUCGCGGGGCGCGAUUGAAUGAAUAAAAGUCGAUUUUCCCCUUCGUGCCUCGGGGAAGCUCGAGGGAAAGAAAGCGCAUCCUUUUGCAGAGAAAAAGCUGGCGGUAUUCCUAACGAUCCCGAGACCCCGCGGUUUAUACGGGGACCAGCUCCGGCAAAUCCUUCCCGUCCGGGGCGAAGCACACCAUCGGACCCACACGUAUAACAAGAAACAGACGGCCAACGGUGCGGGAGAAUUUAGAGAGUCUUUGUCUGUCGCUUAGAAGAUGUAAAUCCCCGAGUCUUAAACGGGUUCGUUACUCCGUUCUCUGCUGGUGAAAAUGCGUAAAAAUCCCCUUUCUGGGUACAGAUGCCAAGCGCUCUCCCCAGGGUUGCAAGCGCCGGGUGUCUUGAUUUGACGUCAGGAUUUUGGGGAGAGAGGAACGUUUGGGAAAAGUCUUUGCGUUUUAUGUCUUCGAUAAAAUAGUUAUAAAGGCACAUGUAAAUCAGUGAAGCCGGAUCGGGGCAGCUUUCCCGGGCUACCUCCAACCCCAAAUUCUCAUCCCUCGUGUGAUCUAAGCAGGGAUGUAAUAACUGGAGGAUUUUCGCCAUUAUAUUUCGUUUUAAAACAAGUGGACAGACGGUUUGGAGACAAUCAUUUAAAACUCCUCAUCUCUUUGGAGAAAGGUCGCACUGGAAAAUGCUGAUCUGAAGUCUGACCGGACAACAGGCAUCUAAAACAAGCAGUUUAUGGGGAAAUCACAGCUAGAAAGGACAUCUAAAGGAAAAGAAACAGAGAGGUCUGGGAGAUGUUUGCCUUUCAGAAACGCACCGAGAAGCUGGCAAGCGAAGUGCCGAAACGCAAAACUGAAAUCAGUUUCAAGGUGUGUACAACUGAACGCGGAAACCUGAAAAUGCUUCAGACCUGAGCACCCAGCCUCGCAGCGGCAACCGAUACCUGCGCCCACCUGGGUCUCUCUCUGUCUCCCGAGGAUGCUGAGGUCUAGGUACAGGGAACGUUCUGGAGGAUCAGGACCUAAUAGCCCAUAUUGGCUGCUAUUGACUUUACCGGUAGGAGAGAGAGACCAGGAUCCCUUCAAUGGCUCCGAACUGCUGCAGUGAAGCAGGAACCACAGGUUUGGUUUGUUUUGGCUGCAUCUGCAAUAUAAGUCUCACUUUCUCCCUAGGGCUGGCAAGAGGCAAGGCAGUAACUCGAUGGCCCACAUAUAAAAGAGUUCUUCAUGUGCAGAUGGUAUCUUUCUCCAGAGUCAUCAACGAAAUUGGGAAUGAGUUCUUCAUCCUCAGGGACAAGACAGGAGAAUUAUCUUUUCUCUCGCAGUGGUCCAGGACUGUGGCUCCACUCUCAAGAACAUCAAGGAAUUGACUAAGAACAGCUCAAAUUAAAUUUAAACUGUAGUACCACUCCCUUAUUUACAGCUAAGCCUAUUCCUUCCUAGACUGGGUGCUUUACACCUAUUAAUCUGCUCCAAGUAAGUCUCUUUUUUUCACUCACCCUCUGAUUUGUCCUGUAAAUGGGUAACAGAGAGAGAAUAUCUGAUGGUGUGCAAUAGAUGUUUCACUGCCAUGAAUUUGGGAAGGGUGUUCUCUGUAUGUGUAUACAGGUUGAAGUAAUUUUUAUCCCUUACCUAAAGAGAAUAAUGUAUAUUCCUCCCUCCCUGUAUCUAGUCAUCUAUUGGACUGAAGUUCUGGUGAUCAAAUUUUGCCAACUUAUCUUAUGAUAUGAUCAGAGGUUUUCAAAUAUUUCUUGAUUUUUGAGACCCUACAACAUUUCCUGGGGACAUGUCCUCAUUCCACGAUUUUCAGGCUACCGACAACAGGCUUGGUUUGGUUUUGUUUCCAGUUCACAGUCUCUGUAAAAACACUGCGGGCUGCAGACUGAGGGUUAGCAUUUUGGAAUAGCAAAUGUUUUCCUGGUGCGUUUAUAUGGUGCUGAGCAUGAUGGAGCCCCUGGACUCCGCCACAAAGCAAGGAAUAAAUCAUAAUUGAUCGCAAGCUGUAGUUACUCCAGCACUUUAGGCUGUCGUGAGCGAACACCAGUGCUGAAAGAAGCAGUUCUGCUCUGUGUCCACUCCUGGCUGCUUUUUCUGGCUGCUGUGCUCGCACAAGUGUUUCUGUGGCUGUGGACUGGGGCACUGAUCCAGGUUGAGAGGAACACCCUCUUCCCAAUCCUAUUUUUUUUUUUUCUCUUUUUUUUACCCCCUCAGGUUAGUUUUAGCCUGGGCCUGCCUAGCCCCUUCCUGAAUGAGAGCUUGUUAGUGACUGAUUAGCCAAAGUUUUGAUAAAAGCUUCAUUGUUUGUAACCUCUGUAAGCUACCCGGAGCUGUGCUCCUAAUAAAAGUGGGAUUAAAUAGACAACUUGGGAGUGAGACAGUUGCAAGUGGGAAUUUCAGAGUUUUGGGGGACAAAGGGAUGUGGCCAGGCUUCAGUAACUCUGCGUAUCAGAAGUGAUUUUACCAAAACCGGGAAAGAAGCCUGACUUUGGUUUUGGGGGGAAAGAGGAGCCUGGUGGGAGACAGAAAGAAGUCAACUGUUUGUGGGUGGAUUAAGCACACACUCCAGGUGUUUGGAAACACGUCUGCAGACACUCUCAUUGCCCUGCAUUCCUCCUGGCUCUCCUUGGGCUUAAGAUUCAUAAAAAGUAUUUAAAAAUCCCCACUCUGAUCCCACAAAUUUAAUCCUUCCUCAUUUUAUUUUUGCAACAAUAAAAAAGUUUGCCUGACAAUGAGGUGUGACUAACUCAGUACUAUCGGAUAGUGUCUUUUCUGAGAGGAGUGUUAAGCAGGGGGCUUCAUCCCUCCUGCUUGAAGCUAGAAACUGACCUGGGCUGAA